AAAUUAAUUUUCUUUUUUCAAUCGUUUUUAUAAUAAAAACUUUCAACAACGGAUCUCUUGGUUCUCGCAUCGAUGAAGAACGCAGCGAAUUGCGAUACGUAAUAUGACUUGCAGACGUGAAUCAUUGAAUCUUUGAACGCACAUUGCGCC
rnacentral:rRNA from 1 species